GUCGCUGUGGCGCAAUGGUAGCGGUAAGUAACUACUACCUAGUUCACCAAUAUUUGCUAAUAUCAGACGUAGCGUUGGACUUCUAUAAACCUCAUGGUGUGAAUCCAAAGGCUGUGGGUUCGAGCCCCACCAGCGAUG